AUGGUUGAUGAACAAGGCCGGACGGCUGGCGCUUGCCAAGUCGGUGCUCAGUGCGAUUCUGAUACACUAGCUGCUCGCGCCCGCGCCCCCAAAGAAAACCCUGAAGCAACUCGAGAAGAUUCAGCGUGGUUUCCUUUGGGCCGGUCGCGCAGACGCCCAUGGCGGUCACUGUCACGUGAAUUGGCGUCGGGGUUUCCGCCCGAUCGAAUAUGGUGGCCUAGGUGUCCACGUUCUCGAGCGCACUGGGCUCGCGCUCCGGCUUCGAUGGCUCUGGCUUGCGCGCACGGACACUAA
rnacentral:rRNA from 1 species